GCAACUGUUGCAUCAGGACUAGCAACAACCCAGACAAGUUCUGCUCAGCAAAGUCCAUCUUCUUGCAGUGUGUGUCUUGGCGCAAGGUGAUCAUGGGAACAAAGGAACCAUGGACCCAUGAGGAAGGGUCUCUGGUGAGAGGAGGGGGAAGAGGGACUUCCCUGGGGGUAGAUGAUAUCUGACCGGCUCUCUCCAGCCUGAAGGAGAAGUAUGCCAAACCCACUCUGAAUGCUGGAGCCUGUGCUGCCUCCCGCUGAGCGAGAACAGCCUUCCCCACUGCACAAAGCGCACCGGGCUCCUGGCCCUCUGCCUGCCCGUGUGAGUGAACAUGACCUUGUGGGAUACAGAACUAAAGCUGGACUUCAGAGAGCAGAGAAUGCUUUGCUCACAUCCAGACCGUUCCCUUAUUUGGGUUCUGAAAAUCUGUAGGGAUUAGAGAUGUCUGUUGCUUGUUGUUAAUGUGAAUUCCUCGAGUCCCACUCGUGAAGCAUCCGGGGACAGAUCACAGGAUUGCUGCUCUGUUACUACACGUAAAUAAAAACUGCUGAUUGACGAGG
rnacentral:lncRNA from 1 species